rnacentral:tRNA from 1 species
AGAUAAAGUGGGUCAAUUAAAAGCUGCUAACUUUUUAAUUAGGUAGUUUAACUCUACCUUUUAUCUA